rnacentral:rRNA from 1 species
AUUUCUAGAGAUAGAAGUUACUUCGGUACAUCGGUGACAGGUGGUGCAUGGUUGUCGUCAGCUCGUGUCGUGAGAUGUUGGGUUAAGUCCCGCAACGAGCGCAACCCCUAUUGUUAGUUGCCAUCAUUCAGUUGGGCACUCUAGCGAGACUGCCGGUAAUAAACCGGAGGAAGGUGGGAUGACGUCAAAUCAUCAUGCCCCGUAUGACCUGGGCUACACACGUGCUACAAUGGUUGGUACAACGAGUUGCGAGUCGGUGACGGCGAGCUAAUCUCUUAAAGCCAAUCUCAGUUCGGAUUGUAGGCUGCAACUCGCCUACAUGAAGUCGGAAUCGCUAGUAAUCGCGGAUCAGCACGCCGCGGUGAAUACGUUCCCGGGCCUU